UUGAUCGCUACGCGGUAGGCCUAGACAUGCACGUCGAGCGGAUGAAGGUAGCUUGCUACCGGAUUCAGCGGCGGACGGGUGAGUAAUGCCUAGGAAUCUGCCCGGUAAUGGGGGAUAACGUUUCGAAAGGAACGCUAAUACCGCAUACGUCCUACGGGAGAAAGCAGGGGACCUUCGGGCCUUGCGUUAUCGGAUGAGCCUAGGUCGGAUUAGCUAGUUGGUGAGGUAAUGGCUCACCAAGGCGACGAUCCGUAACUGGUCUGAGAGGAUGAUCAGUCACACUGGAACUGAGACACGGUCCAGACUCCUACGGGAGGCAGCAGUGGGGAAUAUUGGACAAUGGGCGAAAGCCUGAUCCAGCCAUGCCGCGUGUGUGAAGAAGGUCUUCGGAUUGUAAAGCACUUUAAGUUGGGAGGAAGGGCAGUCAGUUAAUACCUUGCUGUCUUGACGUUACCAACAGAAUAAGCACCGGCUAACUUCGUGCCAGCAGCCGCGGUAAUACGAAGGGUGCAAGCGUUAAUCGGAAUUACUGGGCGUAAAGCGCGCGUAGGUGGUUCAGCAAGUUGGAUGUGAAAGCCCCGGGCUCAACCUGGGAACUGCAUCCAAAACUACUGAGCUAGAGUACGGUAGAGGGUGGUGGAAUUUCCUGUGUAGCGGUGAAAUGCGUAAUAUAGGAAGGAACACCAGUGGCGAAGCGACCACCUGGACUGAUACUGACACUGAGGUGCGAAAGCGUGGGGAGCAACAGGAUUAGAUACCUG
rnacentral:rRNA from 1 species